GACGAUAUUACUUAGACUGCAGGCUUACA
rnacentral:piRNA from 1 species